UACGAAGGGGGCUAGCGUUGCUCGGAAUCACUGGGCGUAAAGCGCACGUAGGCGGAUUCUUAAGUCGGUGGUGAAAUCCCGGAGCUCAACUCCAGAACUGCCUUCGAUACUGAGAGUCUUGAGUUCGGGAGAGGUGAGUGGAACUGCGAGUGUAGAGGUGAAAUUCGUAGAUAUUCGCAAGAACACCAGUGGCGAAGGCGGCUCACUGGCCCGAUACUGACGCUGAGGUGCGAAAGCGUGGGGAGCAAACAGG
rnacentral:rRNA from 1 species